rnacentral:RNase_P_RNA from 1 species
UGGGCUUGAAACGUAGACUAGGGGUCUACAAACGAGGUACCUGGUUACCUAAUUUCAGCUGACCCCGGGAAGGUCUGAGAUCAGGGCUAAAUUAUCAACUCCUAGACGGAGUGUAAUCUAUCCCUAAAUAAGGGACGCGGGAAAACAGAAACAAGCAGUGGUUAACCUAAAUGCGAGUGAUUUAGACGCAGGUUUAUCCAUUGGUGAAACUGUCCCGUAGCCGGCAAUUUGAGUGCAAUCUCUACGAUGUUUUGUUAAAAGCAUAACUCAAUUCAGACUAAUCUCAAGGCCA